CCGCGCAGCUCCUCCCUGGCGUCCACUGGGAGACAAGGGACUCCCAUGAGCAGGAAGGAGCAGGGCAGUGAUUGCUUAGUUUAUCCUGGGACGCGGGAGCUCUGUCCCCGUGGACUGAGUGGUGCGGAGAGGGGAUCACUGAGACCGGGAAGGGUCAUCCAGACAAAUAAGGAGGGGUGCGGGUGGGCGCGCAGUCUCCUCCGCCCGGCCUUCAGACGCACCCGCGCGCAGCGCAGGCGUGUGCUCUCAUCCUUCCCUUCCCUUCACUGUCUGGAGUGAUGAUAAUUGGCUUCCAAAGUGGAUGAGAGAUGAGUCAUUUACAUCCAAUGAGGGAAAAACAGCCUCCAGAGACUCUUCGUCCAUUGGCCAGUGAGAGUGUCAAUUCCCAGGCUCCUGCCACGCGCGGGCGAGCCCUUCUAGGAGGGAAAAGUUCAGCUGAGAGAUAAAAGAGAGCAGACUUUCCAGCACCUGUGAAUCCGGAGCGGUGGGCACUGACUGGCACGUGCACCGUGUGGACAGACUCUCCGGUUCUACUAGGGGAAAUCCAGUCCCUGUUACUCCAUUUUGGCUAGAAAUUCAAGGUAAUGACUUUUAAUAUUUCUGACUACUAGUUCUAUCAUCUCUCUCACUUCUGUAUCUGUCUCUAUUCACUGAUGUUUCUAGUCAUUAUGGGUCAUAUUUAUCCACUUCUUAAAUGCUUGCUGAUUGUUUUAUUAGAUAUCAAGCUUUGUUAAUUUCACAACUUCGGGUGCCAGAAAUUUUUACAUUCCCACCAAUAUUCUUGAGCUUUGUUCUAGUAUGUUGAUAUUUUGCAUGGAAACCAUUUUAUAAUUUCAAAGUUUGCUUUUAUUUGUUAGGUGGGAGCAGAACUAGGGCUAAUUUUGUCCCACUAUGGAAGAAGUACCUUUCAGAGUAGCCUCUCUGAUACUUCAUGAAUUGUGAAGUUUUCUAGUCAGAUUUUUGUGAACUGAAUCUAUUCCCAGUCGUGUAUGAGCCUCAGAAAUUGUUACAUCUGCUCCUUUUGGGUACUUCUUUUUCCUGUUCCUUUCCAACAGCUUCAUUCCUCUCAUGCACUGACCAAGCUGAAAUCUCAAGGGAUACUCACUGUAGAUCUCUGAUACUAUGUGCUCCUGUGGCUCUCUUCUCCCUAGUACUCUGCCAUACAAGCUCCAGUCAGCCUGGCCUCCCAAAACUCCCAGCUUGUCUCCUCAAGUCAGGGAAACUGUUAGACUCUGCCUGUUCUCCUCCCUAAGAUAUGCCUUGGAAACUCCAUACAGUAACCUAGAUAGCCACAGGGCUUACCUCAUAUGAUUUUCUUCUCAGAUAUCAGAGAUGAGAUCCCACACAGCCUGAUGUCCAAUGAUUGAAAGUUGUUAUUUCAUAGAUCUUGCCUUUUUGGGUUAUUUUACACAUUUCAUGUGGCAGAAUAAACUCAAUCCUUGUUUCUCCAUCUUAUCCACUAGUAGACAUUAGUUAUAUUCUCUUUGAACUCAUCAUGAAUUCCAUGAAGACUGAAGAAAACAAGUCAUUUAGUGCCAUGGAAGAUGACCACAGGACUAGACCUGAAGUUUCAAAGGUCUUCAAGAAAGUUUAGGUGAGGGGAUAAGAGUGGCUGCAUUUUCAAAGUCACUGAAGAUACAGCAAUCGAGAGCAGUCCUCUUUAUUAUGGAGAAUAUCCUGAAGUUCCAUGACUCCAAUAAAAGCAAGCUGGAAGCUGAGCUGAGUCAGGCCACCCAGAUGAUGAAUUUGAGAGACAAAAACAUGUGCUGAUCAUUUAUAAUUGCUAUUCCUUGUACAUUUUUGUUAUUCACAUAAGUGAGUUUUGGAAUGAAAAGAGGAUGAAUUCAUUCUUUGGGAUGAAUAAAAGUUGUCAAUGGUCA